GUCCUAAGCUGAGGCCGACAGGCGUAGGCGAUGGAUAACAGGUUGAUAUUCCUGUACCACCUAGUAUCGUUUUAAUCGAUGGGGGGACGCAGUAGGAUAGGCGAAGCGUGCUGUUGGAGUGCACGUCCAAGCAGUAAGGCUGAGUGUUAGGCAAAUCCGGCACUCAUAAGGCUGAGCUGUGAUGGGGAGAGGAAAUUGUUUCCUCGAGUCGUUGAUUUCACACUGCCGAGAAAAGCCUCUAGAUAGAUAACAGGUGCCCGUACCGCAAACCGACACAGGUAGUCAAGAUGAGAAUUCUAAGGUGAGCGAGCGAACUCUCGUUAAGGAACUCGGCAAAAUGACCCCGUAACUUCGGGAGAAGGGGUGCUCUUUAGGGUUCACGCCCAGAAGAGCCGCAGUGAAUAGGCCCAAGCGACUGUUUAUCAAAAACACAGGUCUCUGCUAAACCGUAAGGUGAUGUAUAGGGGCUGACGCCUGCCCGGUGCUGGAAGGUUAAGAGGAGUGGUUAGCUUCUGCGAAGCUACGAAUCGAAGCCCCAGUAAACGGCGGCCGUAACUAUAACGGUCCUAAGGUAGCGAAAUUCCUUGUCGGGUAAGUUCCGACCCGCACGAAAGGCGUAACGAUUUGGGCACUGUCUCAACGAGAGACUCGGUGAAAUCAUAGUACCUGUGAAGAUGCAGGUUACCCGCGACAGGACGGAAAGACCCCGUGGAGCUUUACUGUAGCCUGAUAUUGAAAUUCGGCACAGCUUGUACAGGAUAGGUAGGAGCCUUUGAAACGUGAGCGCUAGCUUACGUGGAGGCGUUGGUGGGAUACUACCCUAGCUGUGUUGGCUUUCUAACCCGCACCACUUAUCGUGGUGGGAGACAGUGUCAGGCGGGCAGUUUGACUGGGGCGGUCGCCUCCUAAAAGGUAACGGAGGCGCUCAAAGGUUCCCUCAGAAUGGUUGGAAAUCAUUCAUAGAGUGUAAAGGCAUAAGGGAGCUUGACUGCGAGACCUACAAGUCGAGCAGGGUCGAAAGACGGACUUAGUGAUCCGGUGGUUCCGCAUGGAAGGGCCAUCGCUCAACGGAUAAAAGCUACCCCGGGGAUAACAGGCUUAUCUCCCCCAAGAGUUCACAUCGACGGGGAGGUUUGGCACCUCGAUGUCGGCUCAUCGCAUCCUGGGGCUGUAGUCGGUCCCAAGGGUUGGGCUGUUCGCCCAUUAAAGCGGUACGCGAGCUGGGUUCAGAACGUCGUGAGACAGUUCGGUCCCUAUCCGUCGUGGGCGUAGGAAAUUUGAGAGGAGCUGUCCUUAGUACGAGAGGACCGGGAUGGACAUACCUCUGGUGUACCAGUUGUCGUGCCAACGGCAUAGCUGGGUAGCUAUGUAUGGACGGGAUAAGUGCUGAAAGCAUCUAAGCAUGAAGCCCCCCUCAAGAUGAGAUUUCCCAACUUCGGUUAUAAGAUCCCUCGAAGAUGACGAGGUUAAUAGGUUCGAGGUGGAAGCGUGGUGACACGUGGAGCUGACGAAUACUAAUCGAUCGAAGACUUAAUCAAUUUUUUAAA
rnacentral:rRNA from 1 species